rnacentral:rRNA from 1 species
AUACGGAGGAUGCAAGCGUUAUCCGGAUUUAUUGGGUUUAAAGGGUGCGUAGGCGGAUGAUUAAGCGUGAGGUGAAAUGCCACUGCUCAACAGUGGAACUGCCUCGCGAACUGGUUGUCUUGAAUGCUCCUGCCGUGGGAGGAAUGUGUGGUGUAGCGGUGAAAUGCAUAGAGAUCACACAGAACACCGAUUGCGAAGGCAUCUCACGAAGGGGUGAUUGACGCUGAAGCACGAAAGCGUGGGGAUCAAACAGGAUUAGAUACCCUGGUAGUCCACGCAGUAAACGAUGAUAACUAACCGCUGGGUCGUAGUGAUUCAGUGGCCAAGCGAAAGCGAUAAGUUAUCCACCUGGGGAGUACGACCGCAAGGUUGAAACUCAAAUGAAUUGACGGGG